UUACCCCUGCUGUUCACGUGAUGCUCCACGCGUCUUGAGCCAACAUUACCUUGAAGGGGAGCCAGAAGUAUUAGGGGGGAUGCGGUAGCCUGCGACACAGGCAAGGCAAAACCUUCUAAUCAGGCACCCACCUGCUAAUAGCAGGUUCAAGGACAAAUGGAUGGCACACGGUUCAGCGGGGGGAGC
rnacentral:other from 1 species